rnacentral:rRNA from 1 species
GAUGAACGCUAGCGGCAGGCUUAAUACAUGCAAGUCAAGGGGCCAGCAAUGGCACCGGCGGACGGGUGAGUAACGCGUACACAACGUACCUUUAACUGGGGGAUAGCAUCUGGAAACGGGUGGUAAUACCGCAUGUGGUUGCGGGGAGGCAUCUCCUUGUAACUAAAACUUUGGUGGUUAGAGAUCGGUGUGCGUCUGAUUAGCUAGUUGGUAGGGUAGAGGCCUACCAAGGCGACGAUCAGUAGGGGGCUGAGAGCGUGAACCCCCCACACGGGUACUGAGACACGGACCCGACUCCUACGGGAGGCAGCAGUAAGGAAUAUUGGUCAAUGGAGGGAACUCUGAACCAGCCAUGCCGCGUGAAGGAAGAAGGCGCUACGCGUUGUAAACUUCUUUUGGGUGGGACGAAAAUAUACCAUUAUGGAUAGCUGACGGUACCAUCAGAAUAAGCACCGGCUAACUCCGUGCCAGCAGCCGCGGUAAU